rnacentral:rRNA from 1 species
CCUACGGGAGGCUGCAGUGGGGAAUAUUGGGCAAUGGGCGCAAGCCUGACCCAGCAAUGCCGCGUGAAGGAAGAAGGCUUUCGGGUUGUAAACUUCUUUGACAGGGGAAGAGCAGAAGACGGUACCCUGAAAACAAGCCACGGCUAACUACGUGACCGCAGCCGCGGUAAUACGUAGGUGGCAAGCGUUGUCCGGAUUUACUGGGUGUAAAGGGCGUGUAGCCGGGAAGGCAAGUCAGAUGUGAAAUCUGGAGGCUCAACCUCCAAAUUGCCUUUGAAACUGUUUUUCUUGAGUACUGGAGAGGCAGACGGAAUUCCUUGUGUAGCGGUGAAAUGCGUAGAUAUAAGGAGGAACACCAGUGGCGAAGGCGGUCUGCUGGACAGCAACUGACGGUGAGGCGCGAAAGCGUGGGGAGCAAACAGGAUUAGAUACCCUAGUAGUC